CAGCUGCUGACAGACACAUGCUGAACCUGACAGAUACAAAUGGCUUCAAUAAUUAGACCUGAGAUUCUGGUUGUUUUUCUCAUCCUCACAGUUAACAUGGCUGGUACUGAUGGUAAAACACUGACUGAGUCUCAACCAGCAAUUAAAGGGCCUGGAGAAUCCCACAGACUGACCUGCACAUAUUCAGGGUUUAGUAGAGACUACCGGAACGCUUGGAUCAGACAGGCAGCUGGAAAAGGACUGGAGUGGAUUGCAACUAUCACUGGUGACAGUCGCAACAUCUACUACUCCCAGUCUUUUAAAGGCCGGUUCACCAUCUCCAGAGACAACAGCAGAAAGCAGGUGUAUCUGCAGAUGAACAGUUUAACCACAGAAGAUUCUGCUGUUUAUUACUGUGCUCGAUAG